rnacentral:rRNA from 1 species
UUUUAAAUGGCCGCAGUAUUUUGACUGUGCAAAGGUAGCAUAAUCAUUAGUUUUUUAAUUAAAAGCUUGUAUGAAAGGCUGGACGAGGUAAAAUCUGUCUCUAUUUAAAUUAAAAUAGAAUUUAACUUUUAAGUUAAAAGGCUUAAAUAUUAUUAAAAGACGAGAAGACCCUAUAGAUCUUUAUAAUUUAUUAAAUUAAAUUAAUUUAGAAAUAUUAAUGUUUUAUUUGAUUAAAUUAUUUUAUUGGGGUAAUAAAAAGAUUGAAUUAAUUCUUUUUUAUAAUAAACAUUAAUUUAUGAAUAUUGAUGAUCCAGUUUUAUUGAUUAUAAGAUUAAGUUACCUUAGGGAUAACAGCGUAAUUUUUUUAGAGAGUUCAUAUCGAUAAAAAAGUUUGCGACCUCGAUGUUGGAUUAAAGAUUAUUUUAGGUGUAGAAGCUUAAUAAUUUUGGUCUGUUCGACCAUUAAAUCUUUACAUGAUCUGAGUUCAGACCGGCGUAAGCCAGGUCGGUUUCUAUCUUUAAUAAAACAAAAUAUUUUAGUACGAAAGGACCAAAUAUUUGAUAUAUUUAUAUUUAAUUUAUUGAAUAUUA